UCCCUGGUGGUCUAGUGGCUAGGAUUCGGCGCUUUCACCGCCCAGGCCCGGGUUCGAUUCCGGUCAGGGAA
rfam:Myotis davidii contig99148, whole genome shotgun sequence.